rnacentral:sRNA from 1 species
UUUGCAAAGUGCUGUUUUGCUUUCUUUUGUACUUAAAAUGAAGUAUUUUUUCCUAUUUGGGUAAUUUUGUGGACCAAACUAUGACUUGAUUAUCAAAUGCUGUAUAUCAUUGAUUUUGUUUUUUUCUAGCCUCUUGUUGCUGUACCACACAGAAUUCACUCAACAAGUAGAAAUGUGAGAGAAGAAAAAACACGCUCAGAGAUAAACUUUGGCCAAGUGAAAUUUGAUCCACCCUUAAGAAAGGAGACAGAACCACAUCAUGAACUUGAUCUGCAACUGGAAUGUGGACAAGGACACCAAGGUAGUUACUUUUUAGGUGCAAACAAGAGUCUUCUCAAGUCUGUUGAAGAAGAAUUGCAUCAGCGAGGACACGUGGCACAUUUAGAAGAUGAUGAAGGAGAUGAUGAUGAAUCUAAACAUUCAACUCUGAAAGCAAAAGUUCCACCUCCUUUGCCACCAAAGCCUAAGUCUAUCUUCAUACCACAGGAAAUGCAUUCUACUGAGGAUGAAAAUCAAGGAACAAUCAAG